rnacentral:rRNA from 1 species
UGCCAGUAGUCAUAUGCUUCUUUCAAGGACUGAAGCCAUGCAAGUGUGAGAGCAAAGCCGGGGGUGAUGGAGGACUCGUUCCUUCGUCUCUUCCGGUGUGGUCUGCGAACGGCUCAUUACACCAGCAAUCAUCCACUCGGCGUUGUGGGGGAGGGAAAAGAAACAUGAAAAGAGAGUUUCUGGACCUCCCACGCCCCAGCCGAAAUCGGGAUAUCAGGCCCAACUGGCCCGCUAAUACGUGAACACCAGAAAAAAAGAGAAAGAGAGAGAGACCGUUCUCAAACAAACACAUCUCUCUCUAUCGUCGUCGAGUUGACGACGGAAGAAGGAAGAAUGAUAUACAUGGUUUGUGGCUCUUCCUCAAAGGUGGAUGUUUUUUGGUGGGAAAGAGUCCCUCGUCGCGAAAAAAAAAGGAAGAGAAGAGAUGAGGUCUUCCCCUCCACAUCCUUCCCCGAGGUGGAGCGCAUCUGGCCGAAACGAAGAUCCACGCCCGAGAAGGGCAGUGUUUGUGCUCGAAAUGAUGAAUCAGGCCAGACGUCUGGCAAGACAGCUGUGCGAUAGCAAUGCGAAAAAAGAACCCCUCCUCUCAACGGAAGAAGACGGAAACGACUUCUCUCCUCCUCCGAAAAAAAAGAAGAGCAUCGGAGAGAGGAGAAGGAGAACAAGGAAGUGAGAGAAAGAAAGAAAAAGGCGUUCUGCGUUGCCGUUGCGAAUUUCUGCCCUAUCAGCUGUCGAUUGUGGUGCAGAGGACCACAAUGGCUAUGACGGGUGACGGAGAAUCUGGGUUCGACUCCGGAGAGGGGGCCUGAAAGAUGGCCACCACUACUAAGGUAGGCAGCAGGCGCGCAAAUUGUCCAAUGCCAAUACAACACAUUGGCGAGACAGCGACGAAAAGUAGUAACGCCACACGCCCAAUCGGGCGAGUGGAGUUUGCGAUGGAUGCUGUAUCCAAAAACAGCAAUGAGGAUCGACUGGAAGGCAAGUCUGGUGCCAGCAGCUGCGGUAAUUCCAGCUCCAGCAGCGUAUACUAACGCUGUUGCUGUUAAAACGCUCGUAGUCGAUUUCAGAGUGCGAGACCACAAGAGGAGCGGUGGGCCGACUCAAACCUCUCUUUAUUUUCACACGGGGGCACCAAUCCCCCUUGAAAAUAAGGGAAUGAGGAGGCUCCGCCUUGUGUGCAAAACGAAGAACUCAAAAACAUCGAGAGAAGGAGCAGUUCUAUCCCCUUUCCUCCUCGUGGUGUGUGGUGGGGUGUGUGUGGAGGGUUGUUUUGGUCUUUCGAGAUCAUCCCCUCCCGCCACAACCUCCCUCCUCCGAGAAUCGGGAGAGAGAAAGAGGGAUGGGAUAUUAAAAAAAAGACUCCUUCUCGAGUCUCUGCACUCGUCUGCAAAAAAAACAAAGCAAGAAAAUUCCUUUUGCGUGUCAUGGAAGUGACAAUCCUCCUGUGAACGCCGCCUUGAAUGGUGGCUGAAGCGGACACGUCCGAAACAAGGAUGGGAUGCAACAUUCGAACAUCUCUUUCCAUGAAAGGAAGAAGGAAAAAGAGGGCGAGAGAAGGCGAAUUGAGAUUCUCCACUCCCUCCUCGUUCUUAUCUUCCUUCGUGCGUGAGGGAUUUCGUAUCUGUUUUGACGAUGAAAAAGAAGACAAUUUCCAUAUGGCACUCGAGUGCUUCUCGUUGAAAAAAGAGGGUGUGUGUGGCUGAACCCUCUCGAAAGAAAGAGAGAGUGGGGGAAAAACCACCUCGCCCCCUUUCCUCGCCCUUCUCUCCUUCGGAAGAGAAUGGGGAAUAUAAAAAACAACAGAACAACCGAGGACGUUGAAGCUCCCCCUCAUCUUUGCCCACACAAAAAAAAACGAAAGAAGAAUGUUUCAACAAAAAAAAGAUGAGGUGCGAAGAGUGCAUGGGUCUUGAACGAGAGAAAUAUAUGGGGGAGGACGAGGAGAGAGAAAGAAAGAAGAUCUCUCUCCUCUGUUCUCCCCCCAACGAAAAGAAGAGAAGUGGAACGGGGGCGUCCAUGUAACGUCACCGUGAACAAUUCAAAGCGCUCAGAGCGGGCCGACCGCAAAGAAUGCCCGGCCGAAUGUUCCCAGCAUGGAAUGACAAGGGAUCGACCGCAGAGGAGGGGGAAGAAGAAAGAGGCUGCUCACCAAAAAAAAAGCGAGUCUCUCCCUCUCCGAACUUGCCCAAAAAAACAACAAGGAAAAGAGAUGCAAAGACACGACGAUCUUUGAAAGAAACGUUUUUCUGUGGGGAUCAUUCGAGGCUUCUUGCGGACAAUGCGGAGGCAAGGUUAUUUCCACGAAAGAACGAGAAGAAGAAAAUGCGUGGAAAAAGUGAAGAAGAACCAACGAAAAAAAACACCCCCUUUGCUCUCCGAACGGGAGCGAUGGGAUCUCUUUGGGUCAUGCGGAUUGGGUCGAGAGAGGUGAAAUUCUCAGACCGACCCAGGACGGACCGAGGCGAAAGCGUUUGACCGAAUGGUUUUCGUCGAUCAAGAACGAGAGUGUGGGGAUCGAAGAUGAUCAGAUACCGUCAUAGUCCACACUGUGAACGGUGCCGGCUUGGGGCCGGCGGUGUGUUCUGAACAAACAAACACAAAAAAAUCUGAACGACACCGUCCGUCCCUCUUCCCCCGCAACGAGAAAUCCACAAGCCCGUGGGUUCAGGGGGAAGUACCGUCGCAAGGCUGAAACUUAAAGGAAUUGACGGAAUGACACCACCAGGCGUGGAGUAUGCGGCUUAAUUUGACUCAACACGGGAAACGUUGCCGGGUCAGGACGGAAUGUGGAUUGACAGAUUGAAAGCUCUUUCGUGAUUCUCCGAACGGUGGUGCAUGGCCGUUCUUGGUUGGUGGAGUG